CUACGGGGUGCACCAGUGGGGAAUAUUGCACAAUGGGCGCAAGCCUGAUGCAGCAACGCCGCGUGAACGAUGAGGGUCUUCGGAUCGUAAAGUUCUUUUCUUAGGGAAGAAAAAUGACGGUACCUAAGGAAUAAGCACCGGCUAAAUACGUGCCAGCAGCCGCGGUAAUACGUAUGGUGCAAGCGUUAUCCGGAAUCACUGGGCGUAAAGGGAGCGUAGGCGGUUUUGCAAGUCAGAAGUGAAAGGCUACGGCUCAACCGUGGUAAGCUUUUGAAACUGCAAGACUAGAGAGCAGGAGAGGCAAGUGGAAUUCCUAGUGUAGAGGUGAAAUUCAUAGAUAUUAGGAGGAACACCAGUGGCGAAGGCGACUUGCUGGACUGUAACUGACGCUGAGGCUCGAAAGCGUGGGGAGCGAACAGGAUUAGAUACCCCCGUAGAC
rnacentral:rRNA from 1 species